GUCAAACAAUAAAGACCCACUUGUUGGAAGAAGCGAAGAAGAUAAAAAGGGCCGUAAACGAGAUGCUGAAAUGAGCAACUUGCCGACACCGCCAGGAGACUGAAGAGCCGGAAAAAGAUGAACUUCUACUCUAUGGACUUGGACCGCACUUGGCAAUCCAUGGGUUUCUC